ACUUAUAUUCUGUAGCAAGGUUAACCGUAUAGGGGAGCCGAAGGGAAACCGAGUCUUAACCGGGCGUUAAGUUGCAGGGUAUAGACCCGAAACCCGGUGAUCUAGCCAUGGGCAGGUUGAAGGUUGGGUAACACUAACUGGAGGACCGAACCGACUAAUGUUGAAAAAUUAGCGGAUGACCUGUGGCUGGGGGUGAAAGGCCAAUCAAACCGGGAGAUAGCUGGUUCUCCCCGAAAGCUAUUUAGGUAGCGCCUCGUGAAUUCAUCUCCGGGGGUAGAGCACUGUUUCGGCUAGGGGGCCAUCCCGGCUUACCAACCCGAUGCAAACUGCGAAUACCGGAGAAUGUUAUCACGGGAGACACACGGCGGGUGCUAACGUCCGUCGUGAAGAGGGAAACAACCCAGACCGCCAGCUAAGGUCCCAAAGUCAUGGUUAAGUGGGAAACGAUGUGGGAAGGCCCAGACAGCCAGGAUGUUGGCUUAGAAGCAGCCAUCAUUUAAAGAAAGCGUAAUAGCUCACUGGUCGAGUCGGCCUGCGCGGAAGAUGUAACGGGGCUAAACCAU
rnacentral:rRNA from 1 species